GCUCUCCUGGCUCCUUGGGCAGCCGUGCAAGCCACAGGCUGCCAAGCCUGACGGAGUCCCGGAUCUGGGGCGGGGCUGGGUGACCUGGGGAGCGCUUACCCCGGCCGGGUGCAGGCAGCUGGCAGUGCCGUCCGUCCAGAUACUCGACGUCGUCCAGGGCGAUGGGCCCCACGGCUGGCUGGCCGCUUAGAGUGGCUUCAAACACGAUCUGACCAGAGGGAGAGGGGGCUGGCUGCGCGGGCUGGAGGAGGAGGGCGGGGCCUGGGGCCUCCGCAACCGCCAGGCUCCGGGCAGCCCGGCCUCACCUGGAACUCCUCUGCGCUGGCCACCUCCACCUGGCCCAGCAGCCACUGAUGCCGCAGGCGCCCGCCCAUGCUCCACACGGCCAGCUGGCCCCGGGCGCUGUUCAGGAGCACCCGCAGCUGGCCCUUGUCUGCAAGAAGGGGGCCGGGGCGGCUCAGGUCCCCAGCCCGGUGGGGCAGGGCUGCCCCCAUCCGCCCUCGCUGCUUCCAGCACCCGUCGCUACCGGCCCGGCCCACUCACAGAAGUGCUCCGGGAAGCCCAUGUGGUACCAGAAGCGGAGGCAGGAGGCCUCGGUGGCGGGCAGAGGCUGGCUGUGCAGCCAGGCUGCCUGGCCCCCCGGGCCCAGCAUGUGGGUUUCAAAGAGCACGAAGUGUCCUGGAGGCGCCAGGCGGACCCUCCGUGGGCACUGAUGCUGAGCACCUGCUGCCUCUCGGCCUCCCCCACGUGAACCUGCAGGGCGCCUGCCACGCCGAGUGACCAGCCCAGAGCCCCGGACCCGGGAGGCCCUGCCCAGCACCAGGGUCACUCACCGAUCUGGGGCCCGUGGAGGUGAUACCAGAAGGAGAGGCACUCCUGAGGAGCUGUGGGCACCUGGGGCUGGGUGAGCAGGCUGCCCUCCUUACGCGGAAAGGCCGGCGGCGUGCCCCAAGAAGGACUCUGUCCAUCCUCCAGCCCUGGCUGCUGCCCGGGGCCUGCCACACCAGCUCACGGUUGCUGUCCUCCACCACGACCAGGGCCAGGAAGCCUGGCCGAGGGGGUCACUGUGGGUCUGCCCGGCCCUCCUCCCCCACCCUCCCGCAGGGUGCCUCGGGGCGGGGUGGGCCAGAGGGACGGGGGGGGGGGGGGGGGGGUACCUUGGGGGUGACUCUGGAAAUAGUAAGCCAUGUGGAGCUCACAGCGGGGGCCCGAGGGACCCAGGGGAGGUGUGAGGACCCGGGCCUCUGCCGCGAGCUGUCCCCAGGCCCUCUGCAGGGCCAGGAAGUGCCCUGAGGAAGAGCAAGGCCUCUCAGAGCCAAUUCCUGCCAGGGCCCCCCCCCGCCCCCCUCACCCUGCCGCCCCGGGCAGGCACACUCCCUGGUGAGAGGAGGCACAGCGAGGUCCCCUCUGGGGGUGCAGUUCGCAGAUGGGGGGACUUGGGCCUCACCAGCAGCGGUCCUGCGGGCGCCUGCGCCAGGGCCCCGGCUCUCCUGGGCCAGGAGACGCCCCCACUGCAGCCGCCCCACGCUGGCAUCCUCCCAGCCCCCCGCCGUGAGGGGCUCGAAGUCCGUGGUGCCUGGAAGGGCAGUAGCAGGGAGGGUCAGGGAGGGUCUGGAGGAAGAGAGGGCCCCCCCGCCUCCCGCCAGCUCCGGCCGCCCCUCACCACAGUCCUGCUCAUCCUCGCCCCCCUCGCACUGUUGCUGGAAGUCACAGAGCUGCUCUGGGGGGACGCACAGGUCCCCGCAGGAAAGAUGUCCCGGCUCGCAGAAGUCCCGGGGCCGCAGGCUGGACGGCUGGCGCCAGGGGGCUGCGGCCCAGAGCCCAAGAGGUCGGCUCCGCCAGCCCUCCCCCUGCCUGGCCUCGCCUCGUGUCACCGGAUACCCUCCCCUGUCACCACCCCCACGCAGGCCUUGAAAGCGACCCCUCCUUCUCUGGGCCUGCUCCCAGAGCUUCCUGCUGACACAGCCUGGGGGGGGGGGGGGCUCUGAUCUCCCCUGCCCAGCUUUCCAGGGGGCGGGGGGCCCUCUGGGACCUCCUGCUCGCCCACCCCUCCCUGGCCGCCGCCCUCUCGGGCCUCACCCGGAAGGGGUGCUCGCUCUGGAUGUCGACCCGGUCUCGGACCCAGGCGGCCCCCAGCUCCCCGUGGCGCCUGCGCAGCAGGACGGGGCCCUGAGGGGAGCCUGGGCUCUGAAUCUGCAGGAACAGCUGGAGGCAGCCACCCUCAGACCCGUGCAGGUAGUGGUAGAAGAUAAGCUGAGAAGAGGCCAGGGAAGGUCAGGGAGACCCCCGGGCCUGGGCAGCCAGGUCGGGCGGCCCCGUGUCCCCCACCCACCUCACCGAGCAGUUGUGGGGGCCUGAGGCUUGGAACUCGGGGCUGGAGAGGACAGCGGGGGCGCUGGGCUCGGCCACGGAGACCAGGAAGGAGCCUGGGGAGACACCAGACGUGGGCCGGGGUGGCUGGGCGGGGCCCCGGUGGGCGCUCCCCGGCGGUCCCCCGUGGGCCUCACCCUGCGCGCUAUUGCGGCUGUGGUCCCGGCGCGGCCAGGCUGGUGGCCUGGGGCCGGCACUGUGGUUCCGGGCCCAGCCUUCCGAGUGGUUCCACGGGCCCAGGCCCGUCUCGAAGUCGGUGGCCGUGUGGCGGCCUGUGGGGGAAGCAGGGUCAGGCUGCCGGCAGGGCCCGUACCCCCCCUGUCCCGCUCCGUCACGCUCCCUGGUGACCCCCAGCAGCCCCUCCAGCUCACGGCAGGUGGGCGUGUCCUCAUCUGAGCCGUCCCCACAGUUGUCCUCUCCGUCGCACAGCUGGUGGGGCUCCACGCAGGCCAUGUUCCCACAGUGGUGGUACCCCAGGGGGCAGCGUGCUUGGGGGGCUGACAUGGGGGAGGGGCAGCCCGUCACCGUGACCCCAAGACCCCAGGGGCCGGGGCAGCUGGGGGAGAGGCUCAAGGCCAUCUGGGUCCUGCUAACCCACUGCCCCCCAGGUGUGGGUCCGCGGCACGGGGGCCUUACUGGGCAGCCCACAGCCCCGGAAGACCACGUCGUCCAAGGCCACGGUGCCCCUGUGGGUGGCAUUUCGGGUGGCAGAGAAGGUCACCUGAAAAGAGUGGGGUCCUCAGGACUUAAGUCAGGGCUCAGACCCUCCCUGCUCCCUCCACAUCCAGACCACCCCCAGCUCACCCAGAAGUCGCCCCGGAUGCGGCCAGUGGCCACCACCAGCUCCUGCCAGCCUGGGCCCCAGGGCCCAGAGCUCUGCCACAGGGUCAGCGUCUCGGCCCUGUGGGUCAGCUCCAGCCGCAGCUCAGCCACAUCUGUAAGUGGGGGGGCGGGGGGUCCUGGGGCGGCUUGGGCCCCGCUGCUUCCCGCAGCCUGCUGGCUGUGCCCUGCCCUAGGACCCUUGUUCCUCCCUUGAGGUACCUUCCCGGUCUCUGCGGCGGCCCUCCGUCCUUUCCCAGUCCCUCCCCUGGUGGCGCCCCACCCUGGUGGAGGAGUCCUGGGCACCCACCUCUGGUGGCCGUGUGGUGCCAGAGCCUCAGCUCACAGGUGGGGGCGGCGUCGCGCAGGGCAGGGGAGCGCAGGGCUGCCGUGGACGCCUCUUUCCCGCGGUGCGUGCCAACAGCCGUGUACCAGCCUGGCCGGCAGAGAGGUCAGGAAAUGGGGCUGGAAGUGAAGGGGGGAGGGGGCAUCACGGACACCCGCCAGGGCCUCACCGAGGUCUGUGCCGAGAGUGUGGUCUGAGCGCGGCCCCAGAGGCUCCAGUGUGGCUCCUGCCCGGUCUCGCAGCCACCUGUAGCCUGAGGUGCUGAUGUCCCGCCAGCCGCAGGAGUCUCGCUCGAAGUCACAGGCGAAGGGGGCGCCCGGGGCGGGCGAGACCCCGUGGUAACCUGGAAAGUGGGGGGCUCAGGGCUGUCUGCAGAGGGCUGGCCUGCCCGCCUCCUGCCCGCCCCACCGGGCCCCAGCUCACCGCACUGGGCCUCGUCGGAGCAGUCUGGGCAGUCACACACGAAGUUGCAUGCGGCCUUGCUGGGGGCCCUGCAGUCGUUGGGGACCCAGGCCCGGCCUGGGGGCCCUGCUGCUAGGAAAGAGACAGGCGGGUGGCCUGGGGCGGGGUGACCCCCCCCCAAUCCCAGGCGGCCCAGAUACUGUUCACCUGCUCUGAGGCCUAGGCCGAGAGGUCAGGGAGGGAGGGGGCUGGGUCCUGCCAGCUGGGGGCUCCCGGUCAGGGCCAGGCAGGGCACACCUGGCCCGGGAGAGGCGGGCUGCACGUCAGGAUGGGGGCGGGGGGGUUGUGAGCAUGGGACCAACGGUCCCCGACAUGGGAUGCCCCCUGAGGAAGGGAGCAGGAACCCAACAAGGAGAUGCCCCCGGCCCCCUCAGGCUCCAUUUGGUCCAAGAGUGGCAGACUAGGCUCUGCUUCCAGGGCCCUCUUGCCCUGGGACCCGGGUGACACUGGGGCCAGGUAAAGCAGAAUUCGUGCCCCUUCCCCGAUGGGGCAACCCCCAGGCCCCCAAAGGCUUGUCCUGGGCACCCCCCGAAAGCUACCCAGGGCCUUGCCCCUCUCCUGGGGAGGAGACCUGACACUCACCCAGGAGCAAGGCCAGCAGGAGGUGGCGGGGCAGACGCAUGGUUGGGCCAGGGGAGUGAGGCGGAGAGACCGCGCACUCCAGGCGGCCUCGCGGGGAUUUCGCCCGGUUAUCUGCCUGUGGCCCCGCGGGCUGAGUCUGCUCUGCUUGGGGGGGGACCUGGCCCCUUCUGUACCCGUUGCCCGUCAGCAGGCCCCGCCCUGUGUUGAUGAGGACGAACGUCCGACUGUAAAAGCGUCCAGGAGAGGGGCCCCUGGCCCAGGUAGGCUCCCACCCGCCCGGAUCCUUCUGACCAAAGGUCAAGCCUCAGUCAUCACGCCCACCGCCCCAGCCCUGCCUGGCGGAGGCCCCACCAGAGGAAGCACCCACUCGGGCUUUGUCUCCCAGAGCUGGGGGCAGGAGCCCAGCACGUACCCCCCACCUGUGCCCCCAGCCCCACGUUCCGUGCCUCCCUGCCCCAAGUGACCAGGGACUUCGUCCUUCCCCACCACAGUCUGUGGCUGCCUGUUCGCUUAUUCCUUUGUAAGGGACGAUCAUUUAUUCAUCAACAACUGUUCUGAUUAGCGUGGCCAGGUGCUGCCGGGCACAGGGCAUUUACCACCAUGUGACCUCGGUCUUACCAGAUCCUGUCUCCUCAUCACUAAGAUGUGGUCACAACAGCCUGGAGAGGCCACCGUGAGCUCACGGAAGGCCUGCGCCAAGAUGGCACCCGUGCUCACGGGAAGCCACAGAGACAGCUGUGCUCGGCUGUCCCCUCAUCCACACAUCCACUUGCCACACCUCGUCCCCCCUCAGCCCUGCACUGGGAGGAGAGGAGGGGGUCCUGGAGGGGGGCUCCCGGCUCCAAGCCUGAACCCUCAGAGCCUGUGGCUGCAGGGCGGGUGCCAUGGGACCCGGUCUCACAAGGGGUCUGGGAAACUUCACAUGACUUCAAACGGCAGAUCACGAGGGGACACUGAUGUCAGCUGGCCCUGGGGGACCUGGUGCUAACUCCUUGCGCAAGGGCUCAUCAAAGAGUUUCCUCCCAGAUGUCCUUGGACACAGGAGGGGUGGAGAGGAGCAAUCAGGCCAUAAAUGGGGGCAGCAGCCCAGGGGCCCCCUUAUCAGAGCACAAAGGGCUGAGUGUGCACGCCACCCCCCCCACCCCCCCCCCCCCGGGGCCCCCAGAUGUGGAGCCAGGUGAGGGACAGCCAGUAGGGGCCCUGCGGCUACCAGGGCCGCCUCCAGCUCUCUGUCACCCACACCCUCCGGCCAGGGGUCCCCAGGGGUGACCGGGAAGCAGACAGAUCAAGACACACACACAUCUGAGGAAGAGCAGGGGUGAUAACGUUUUUAAUUCCUGCAGGUGAGGUAAACCUGGGCGCUCGGCCCGGCUGCUGUUGGUCUCCAAGGCCUGGCCCGGGGUGCAUAGCGCCAGGGGGUAUAGUGGGUCGCUCGGGCAGGCCUCAGUAACCGUCGUCGGCCCAGGUGACCUCGUAGUCCGGGUACACGGCUUUGAUCUUCUCAGUGGAGACUGAGUGCUGGGCACGACCAUAACCCUGAAGACAGAAGCCGACGCUCACAGCCCCGUCCUGGCUCUGGGCGUCCAUCGGCAGCAGCACCCAGGAGGCGGCUAUGGAGGGGGCCCGCUGGAGCCGGACGUGGCCAGCCCUCCCUGAGCGCCCAGGGUAAGCUGGCCGCCAAGGUGAGCAGUCCUUGCGCGUGGGCCCUCCGGCCCACGGCGCGGCCUAUCCUAGGUGCCGAGAGAGGCUGUGUGAAUGCCCCUGGGUCUCCACUGUGGCCUGGUGACGGGACGGGGGGAUGGCCCAGCCAGGCCUCGUGGAGGACCGGGACGAGGCCCACUGUGGCUGAGGGGCAGGCAGUGGCCUCCCUCCCACUGCUCGUGGCAGAUGGGGAAGCCACUGGCAGGAGGGGUCCGCGGCCCAGACAGCCGGAGAACCCCCAGUGCCGCAGGUGUCCUCAGCGCGGGGCAGUGAGGGCUUGUGAGAGCUGGUCCCUCCCCCCCGCCCCCCUCCGCGGGCCGGGGGCUCACCAUGGAGUAGCCAUACACGUGGAUCUUCUUGUCCUGGCUCUGGUGGGAGAUGCGCCCGCCUCCCAGGCACUCACAGCUAUAGCCCUUCUUCUGCAUCUCGCCCGAUACCUUGUCAUAGAUGUCGGCUGGGACAGGGAAGGCGGCUCAGCACGUGCCACGGCCCGCGGAGGCCCGCGGGAUCUGGAGCUCCGGCUCUGGGCAGCUCCUCCCCAGGAGAGGAGCCCCUCCGGGCUGGGACGCCAUGAAAGGAGGAAGGCGUGCACCCGGGCAGGAGUCCUGGGACUAGGAGACACGGGUCGCGCCAUGGCGGCCCCUCGCCCUCCAGGACCCUUGCCCUCAGACCGGGUACAGGACCGCCUCUCUCGACGCCGCCUCAUUCCCCGCCCAGGGCCCUCAGCCCCGCCCCAGGACGCCCUCAGCCCCGCCCCGAAAACGCCGGCCGGCCCCGCCCUCACCGUGGUACUCGGCCCACUUAUAGCCCCGCACGAUCUCCUUGCUCUUCCCGGCCGGGGCCUCGGAGGGCGGCGCCGCGUGAACUCGGAUUAGCACGUACUUGAAGACGCCGUCGGAAUCGAUGUCCACAUCGGCUAUCUGGGCGAGGUCCGCCGCCGCCAUGUUUCCCACAGCCCGCCCGCCCCGGCAGCCCGCGGCCCUUCCCGCAGCGACCCUGGGUCGAGUCGACCGUGCGGGAGGCGGGCCCUGGGAGCCCGGGCCCAAUCCCGCGGGGCCUUGCUGCCCGGGCCCGGAGCUUCAGCCAAUCGUGUCGCCGACCCACAACACAGACUGGCCAAUGGCAACCUAGCUCCUUGCCACUCUGAGGCCACGCCGGUCCCGCUUAAAGGGGAACAGGGACCCGGGAGUGGGCGGUGAUUAAAUCAAGCUAACUUA